AAAGUUGCAUUACGAACAGAGGGACAGAUAUUAAAUUAGAGGCUGCCAUCUGGUGUUUGGGUUAUAGAUAAGCUUCCUGUGGACAAAUAGAUAAGCCGCCAGUGAAAAUAAGUGGUACUCACUGAACUCAAACAGGCUGUAAGGGAUACAUUGGGACAUUUGGGACAGAGGUUAUGGCGAAGGUGACCACAGAUGGUAUCUAUCAAGACUUCAUGGAAGGGAUAAUUAGACCGGGUGAGCCUCACGCCCUCUAACCGGCUGAAGUGAUGGCAACAAUGGUGUUCACUAUGGCCCCUGUCCUUCACCACUUCUACCGGAGACCUGAGUCUGAGUCAGCAACCUGUGCACAGUAUCCAGUCUAAGCUAUCAACUGCUUUUUCUCUCAGGAGUGUGGCAUGAGUCCACGUGGAGUGAGCAUAGAGAGAGGUCCCGUCCAGACAUCUCUCAUGGUUCUGUGUACUGGUCAGAAAAUGGAGAAGACAUAAUGGACUGUAAAGGAUGGUGGCAGCUCAGGUGAGAGAUUUGUCUGCUGUUUGCAAAAAUCAGAUUAUUCCUCCGAUAUUGAAAUUGGAACAUUACCAAGGGCCAUCUACAUUGAACAUGUGCCAUUGGUAGGUCAAACUGAAGACGAAAAUGAAGAAACGCAAGAAGAAUGAAGAAUGAAUGCCAGGGAAUGGCAACCGGUGGUGGUCAACCGUGCCCAUAUUUGAUUUAGGCUUGUCCAAAAUGGUUUAUUUGGGGUAUCAGGUUGAUUGUGGAGGUCUGCACACUGCAAAAUACAUAGUAAUUUAGACAAAAAAAUGCAUUGAGAUACCAAUUUGUCAUUAACAUGCCAAUCGCAACAAAAGCUCCAUCUGAAAUGCCAUUUCCAGAAUCCAUAAAUGAAAGUGUCUGUGGUUUUAUGAAGCGUAUGUGUAACUGUAUCAUUCUACUGCAAUGGUUUUACAAGUAAGGGCUAUGGUAUUACGAUCAGUUACUAGUUGGAUUGUACAACCCAGAAUAAAGGGUUUGAAAGUGUCUGUGGUUUUAUGAAUUAAUGUAGUUUACUUAUGUAUUUUGAUAGAAGCUAUAAUGUGAUGCUUACCUUAAAAUGUAAUGAUAAUUAUCACAUAGUGAUAAAAGCAGGGAAUGUGCGGGAAAAUGUUGUCUGAAGAGAUAGCAUUGAAUUGUACACAGCAUCUCCUUUCCUUCUUUCUUGGUUCAUGCAGGUGACUGUGACCUCCUCCUCAGACCAAUUGGCAGUACACCCAGAACAUUGUUCUGGGAAUCAAAAGGGAUAUCUCAGUUUCAAGGUCUCAGCUUGGAGAGAAGCCGUGUGGUGAGGUAUUGGUCGAUCACAUACAGGAACCAAAUAUUAAUUAUGAAUUAAUUAUGAGUAAUGUAAAUCAUGCAAAUAUAACUUGUCUGUGUAAGCAGUAUAUAAGAGAACGUGACUGCCACAACUGACAUGUACUAUGGUGCAUUACGUUUGUUGGAACCUCUCCAGCUUGCUGAUAAUAAAGAAUGAUUAAUUUAAUAUUGA